GACGAACGCUGGCGGCGUGCUUAACACAUGCAAGUCGAACGCUGAAGCUCAGCUUUUGUUGGGUGGAUGAGUGGCGAACGGGUGAGUAACACGUGAGUAACCUGCCUCCUUCUUUGGGAUAACGCCCGGAAACGGGUGCUAAUACUGGAUAUUCACUGGUCUUCGCAUGGGGGUUGGUGGAAAGGGUUUUUCUGGUGGGGGAUGGGCUCGCGGCCUAUCAGCUUGUUGGUGGGGUGAUGGCCUACCAAGGCUUUGACGGGUAGCCGGCCUGAGAGGGUGACCGGUCACAUUGGGACUGAGAUACGGCCCAGACUCCUACGGGAGGGAGCAGUGGGGAAUAUUGCACAAUGGGCGCAAGCCUGAUGCAGCGACGCCGCGUGAGGGAUGGAGGCCUUCGGGUUGUGAACCUCUUUCGCUCAUGGUCAAGCCGCAACAAUGGUUGUGGUGAGGGUAGUGGGUAAAGAAGCGCCGGCUAACUACGUG
rnacentral:rRNA from 1 species